GUCUAGGGCCAUGCCACCCUGAUAACAGGUAAAACCAUCUGAUCUCAGAAGCUAAGCAGGGUUGGACCUGGUUAGUACUUGGAUGGGAGACCACCUAGAAAGACCAGGUGCUGUAGGCA
rnacentral:rRNA from 1 species